UUUUACAUAUAUAUAUAUAUAUAUAUAUAUAUAUAUAUAUAUAUAUAUAUAUAUAUAUAUAUAUAUAUAUUUACAGACACAUUUAAUAUUAUAUAUAUAUAUAUAUAUAUAUAUAUAUAUAUAUAUAUAUAUAUAUAUAUAUAUAAUCAGACCAUCGAGUGCUGUUUCUACACUUUCACGCGCUGUCAUGCCAGUGGCGCGAAAACUUCUAAAUAAUCUAACAAACUGUUAAGCGCUUUUUCUGUUACUGUACAUUUAUAAGUAGGUUAACAUUUUCAAACCAUUCUAUGUCUAAAUAUACUCCGUAUCUUGUUAAUAUGUUAGCUAACCUAUUUUAGUCUGAAAUAUUGCAAACAAGUAACGUUAAAUAAUGUUAUAAGUUACUAGCUUAGCAAACGUUUUAUGGCUAAAAGAAAUGUGGACCACAAACUAUCUGUCAUCACAAACUGAAACGGAUGAUUUUGACCUGUUUCCGCCUUUCGCAAAGCGAUCAAAGGAAGUGACUCGUUCCAAUGAGGAGAGCGUGUUACCUGUGCAGCCUCAAUAUGACGAGACUUCCUGGAAGACAGCUGUGCCAAUAUCAUGUGAGGACUUGUUCACAUAUGAACCCUUUCUUGCUUCAGCCCUGUACUCCAGUUCACCUUUUGGGAUGGUGAACAGACAUAAAAGAGUGAGCACGAGCCUGACUCAUGAGAAUCUGCCGCAUCCUUCACAGCUGAUGUGCAGAAUGAGAAGAUACCACAGACGACAGAAACACACUCCAAGUGUUCUGCAACAUAUAGGAGAACUCAGGAUGAAACAGCGACAUAUAAAUGAGCUGAAGGGGGAAAAAUGGUGGGGUGCCACAGCUGUGCCCAGGCCAGAGGACAGCAGCGGCUCACUACCUGAGGGUGGAGACGAGCAGCUUAUCGGACCUGCAGCUGGUGUUAGCUUCAGUGCUAUGCUAAUGGACAAUCCUGAUGUGACCAUGACAAUGCCUUAUGAAGCUGUUCCCUCACCGACUCUUCUGUUCUCAGAAUAUGAGCAGUUUCAUGACCUUGCUCCAGGAGGGAACCCCAUGAUGUCGUUUGUUUCGGGAACAGCCCAUAGAUCGCUUUUGAUGGCUGAUAAUGUGUGUGCCACAGUCAAUUCUGGGACAUCUGAUAGGAUCCUUGGGAGCAAUGAUGAUAUGAUGUCACUUUUUUACUAG
rnacentral:lncRNA from 1 species